rnacentral:rRNA from 1 species
UGCCACAGCCAUAUCACCCUGCAGCCCAAGACUGGUUGCCCACUGAAGCUGAGCAGGGUUGAGCUGCUCAGUACUUGGAUGGGAGACCUCCUGGGAGUACCAGGUGCUGUAAUCU